UUUUACAUAUGUAGUAUGAGUCUUGAAUUAGGUAACUGUAACUCACAGUUAGAACAGUAAAAUUAUUGGAAGACCUCUUUCCUCUUUUAGCCUGUAGAAGAUGUAGGACAACAGUGACUUUUCUACAUUCCUUUCUAUCUUUUGGAAAAGCUUCCCCCCUCAACCCCAGCCUAGCAUAUCUGCACAGUGCUGCUGUAAGCUGAACCACUCUGGGAAAAUUUCCAAGGAAUAAUGGGAGGAAUUCUCAAGGACAAGAUGAGGACAGCACAAGGCUGAAAUCUAUCCCAGUAAGGCUGCAAAGGAUGUGGAAGGAAAGCUACAGAUGGUAGGUGGCAGGUCAGCUCUUAGACAGGAGAGCAGUAGGGCACCAACACAAGCUGGGGCAGGAAGGGGAAGCAAAGAGUCCGUCCCUCUGUGGUUUGGGUGGCACUGUCACAAAAGGACAGUGGUGCAAACUGAGCUAGCAACGACCUGAUGGCUGAGGACCCCCCUCCAGUGCCUUCCACCCAUUCCUCCAGCCUGCAGAAUCAAGCACAGCCCUGACCUGACGAGCUGCUUCUCAUCCAGAACUAAUAAAACCAAAGAUUAAGAGGGAAGAGAGAGCCAAUUCAGUGCAGGUAAAGAACUGGUUACUAUAGCAACUGUUUUCUUCUUUGAGCAUAGGUUGGGAGGACUCCCUUGCAAGGGGAUUUCUGUGCAGUCCCCAGGCUGGAGGGGGAAGUUGCUUCAAGAAUCUUGUUUGACAAAGGCUGCAUGGCUGCACUCUUGAACUCUG